UACGGGGGGGGCAAGGCGUUGUUCGGAAUUACUGGGCGUAAAGGGCUCGUAGGCGGCCAACUAAGUCGGAUGUGAAAUCCCCAGGCUUAACCUGGGAACUGCAUCCGAUACUGGAUGGCUUGAAUCCGGGAGAGGGAUGCAGAAUUCCAGGUGUAGCGGUGAAAUGCGUAGAUAUCUGGAGGAAUACCGGUGGUGCAAACGGCUUUCUGGACCGUAACUGACGCUGAGACACGAAAGCGUGGGGAGCAAACAGG
rnacentral:rRNA from 1 species